GACAGAGGUGCCGAGCGUUAGGCGGAAUCACUGGGCUUAAAGCGUGUGUAGGCGGAUCGUUAAGUACCUUGUGAAAUCCCACGGCUCAACCGUGGAACUGCUGGGUAUACUGGCGAUCUUGAGCCACCUAGGGGCAACUGGAACAAGCGGUGGAGCGGUGAAAUGCGUAGAUAUCGCUUGGAACGCCAACGGUGAAAACAGGUUGCUGGGGGUGUGCUGACGCUGAGACACGAAAGCCAGGGGAGCGAACGGG
rnacentral:rRNA from 1 species